UUUUUUUGGGCUCACUGGGUAGACGGAAUAGGGAUUGGGCGAGAGCAGAGGGAGGGAUCCUGCGUCGGCGGGUGGCUUAGUUUAGAGCAGCGGCCCGAGCAGACGGAGCGGCACCGGCUACUUACGCAGCCGACGCCGGUGCGGGGGAGAGGUUUGCCGUCGCUACUACCUCCCUCGUCGAGUGCGACCGGUCCGAGGGCUGGCUUGCGCAGCUCAGUAGAGAGGAGUCCCGGUUGGGGAGGAUAAGUAGCGUAGAGAGGGACUGAGGCAGAGGAGGUGCUAUACAUCGUGGUGGGGUGCGGUACCUGCGGGAACGGUCGACGUAGAGAGGUACGUGGCGGUGAGGAUACUGUGGCGGCGGGCCGUCAGAGGUGGUCGUGGUGCUGCCCGCACCGGAGACGUGCGCGGCAGUGGAGGGGAGGUCUAGGCCGGCAGCAGCUCCCGUAUAGGUAGGUCGUCACGCGGCAGUGGAGGGGAGGUCUAGGUCGGCAGCAGUUACCGCAUAGGUAGGUCGUCGCGUGGCAGUAGGGUUAGUAGUGGCAGGUGCCGCAGUAGCGGGUCCGGGUCAGUCCCCGGCUGUUCUGGAGUUACUAGAGGGAGAAGCAGACGGUCCAGUAACUCUGGUUGCAGGUGCUAAGUCACACCAUUAGAUGUCGUUAGUUCAAUUGUUUAGACUUCGUAAAAUCGUUUCGUUGCCACGUUCACGAGAAAACCACCUUCUACUUCGAAAACAACCCGAACACUACAAAAAGACUUCUUCUGACUGCUACUUGAGUUUUCUGUCUAUAUCAUGAUUUACUAAGUCCUGACGGCAUCGAGGUCUUUCCUACCGUGAGAAGUAUAACACUACGUUGCAGUAUUAUGAUCUAACAAAGAUAAACAAGACUACGUUGAAGAUAUUAACGUCCAACGAUGAUGCCCUUAUGGACUACAACGAAGUACAGUCAAUAUAGAAGGUUAUAAAUGUCUUUGAAGGCUUUGACCGUGGUCCAGUCCUGUACGACUACUAUUGGAAGGUCAAAACGAUUUAGUAUCAAUUAACUCAUUAGAGAUGAGGAUUUCACAAGAAGCUUCCACGAGUAGUAGACAGCUAUGUGUUGUGGCGUCAAUAACCACCAAAUGUGUCCUAUCAAAGGUCUGGAAAUAGCGUUCUACCUGCUUGAACCGUAGAGUCGGUCCUGAGACGGAGUAGUUAUCAAACUACAGGUAAACGUACUUCAAUCCGGUCGUAGUCUUAUAGGCAUCGGAAAAACUCCUCUACUUCCACUUCUUAUAAUUCGGCCUAUUGGAGUGUACAAAGGAAGGUUACUGGUCGGCACACCGUAACUUGUUCUAUUUACAACAACCUCUUCAAAAUCUUCUUUACGUUCUUUUCCUACAUCAAGAUCCCACCAUAAGUAUAUCGUACCAAAGAUAGAUGGACUCACGACCAAACCAAAAUUUUUUGUCAGGCGAGAGUUCUUUGAGCUCCCGGAACUAAAAUCUUCCAUUGUAUUUAUAGAUCUAACUAGCAAGUACCAGGACCCCGAGGAAAAAUGUCACUCCACGCGGCAAUCCCGCACGGGACUUAGCUCUCCUUGUUCAUACAAGUGAAAGACAAGCGAAACACAAACGAAAGACAUCAGAGUUUCAUCUCGUUACCAGUGACGUUUAAAAUAGUCUCUUACACGUUGUUUUCGUGCAACUCUUCAAGGACACUCGGGAUUAAUAAAGAACUCUUUCGUUUGAAUAAAUAGGAACGAGAUAAAAAACACAUGAUUCUAACAAGCAAACAUGGGUCGUACACAUGCACUACACGGGACGGCGACACACACGAAGGACGACUACACACACGAAGGACUGCGACAACUCGUACGCACACACACAAGCGACAGCGACAAAUAAUUGUAACAGUACGAGAGGAAUGAAAAACGAAUUGUUAAGUACUAGUUAUGACUUGUAAUAAAAAACUUAUCUACGGUGAACUUGAAUCAAAAUCGAGAGUACAACAAGUUUCUUAGCAGUUCAUUACAAAACGUACCUAAAAUAUUGACUGUGUUACAAAGACUAAAUUACUCUCGGUUGGUACGCAAGGACCGAAGGGGCCGCUACGGUUGUACCGUCCCGUCCUGGGUCACCGGUAGAAGCCGCGGAAGUACCUGAAACAAUCGCGGCUGGAGACGAAGUAGUAGAUGCCGGUGCUGGGGAAACGGCAGCCGUAGUAGACCGUGGAGCCUUACGUUUAAUUUACACAAGUACCUCACCCCACAUUAACACUAAACACGUUACCCAAGUCUCACCUUCCCCGACAGUAAGAACAAAUCGUUCCCGACGUUCAAUAUAGCGAUAUUCGGACUGUACGUCGCCGUUGUUGUCUAAGUCUACACCAUUCGAGUAAGUAAGUAAGAGAGUCCUGUUCUCCUGGUUUAACUAAGUUUAAAACACAAGACUAGAAUUACAACGCUCCAAACGCUAGCGUACAUACCAGCCCUGACGCACCCGGGCCGCUGGUUAACGAACGUAGAGAACGACAUACCACUACUACCUGGCCGAGGACAAUUUAGGUUAUGCUGACGUGAAGAAGCGAAAUCCUUCUUCCAUAGGGGGGAUAUGCUUCUAAAGAUCGAACGGACACACAACUAUUCACGUAAGCCGGUUUGUUAAACACCUGGUUUAUUUGAACAACGUCUAUGUCUUCUUGUUCCGACGUGUGUUCCUCAACGGACUUAACGUCACCGUCGCCACAACAUUAUACAUUACAAAACGUAGUUGAACCAGGUAUAAGAUAGGUAUUCAGAUUACUUAACCGGGAACAAAUAGUCCUUAGUUCGAACACUUCUUUUUAAAGCAAUGAAAUUACUGUGUGUGAACGUCAUUCAGUAAGUCUCUAUAUAAGUCAUGUACGAUCCAACGGUUCGAGUCUCGGUGGACAACAGAGGUACUUAAGCGACUUUCGUUUUUAGUUAACAGGUAUCAGUACACUUUGGAAGAUCUUAAGAAAAAUCAUAAAACGUAACGAACACGUAAAGAAAAAAAUAGUGAAGAUUAUUGGAGUAACUAAGUAAAAAGGAUAGCAGUACAGUCAGGAACGAGAUUUAAAAAACAAUUAUACAACGUGAAGAACACGUAAAGGUAAAAAUAGUGAAGAUUAUUAGAGUAACUGACAAAUGUAGAGUGGCACAAAUGGUUCUUGUGCUCACUAUUAAAACAAAAUAUUAUUAUGUUAUCACUGUUAAAAUAAAAUAAAAUAAAAGAUUGUAUCAAGAGUUAAUCCGAAUGUUUAUAAAAUGUAACCGUCAUCAAGACAGUAGUUCGAAUACACAUUACAUAAGGAAUCUUACCACAAAGUCGGUAAAGAUACAUCCACCGUACACACUACCGUGCAUAAAGUCGGUAUAGCUGAAUCCACCGUACACACGACCGUGUUCUUUUCCUUCCGGGACUUGACUUUCCUCGUUGUAUAUAAUUACUUUACGGGACUUAAUUCACACACUCUCUCUCUCUCAAGUUAAAUUAAACAGACCAAAUUUAUAAAUACUCAUUAAAUUAAACAAACUGGAACUCACAACUGAACGAAAAGUCAACAGUUGUUACAGGUAAAACGACUUACAUGAACGAAUAGGAAGAUGACCUGAUGGUAACUAAGUGACACGUGUAUGUGAAAGGUUAAGACAGACAAAUGAUAGAAAACAAUAAUAAACAGAACUAUUGAACUACGAAAGAAGGAACCAUCAAAUUAGAAUUGUCAAGGUGUAGGGUGUAGCUUGGAAGAUCUGAGCAGGUUCACUGGUAAACGUUGUAGGAAAAGACCAGUUAGACCUAAUAAAGUUCCAAAAGUAGUGAGACCAGACGUGUUGUAAGUACCUUUAAUAUCAGAAGGUUUUAUAAGGACCUAGUGAACGUUUUUCCUUACUACACUUCUCAUCCCAAGGUAGUAGACCCCAGGUUGUUGGGUCUCCCUCGUAAAGACCCUCUAAACGAUGUUUGUCGGAAGGACAACAGUAAGAGUCUAAGGAGUACGUGUAAGUCCACAGUCACCAUCUCAUUACUUACAACCACCUCCAGUUCGUAAAUCUUCACCUUACUUAUACCCACCAUGGUAAGUUCCAAAUAGGAGUUUGAACCGGUGGUCACCAUUAGCUUUAAUACAAGGACCUUUGGGUCGAAACCCAGGUGCAUAAUGUUUGUAACACACGUCUUCAUUGUAACCUUAUUUAUAUUCGAGACCACCCAACAGCCACGGCUAAUAGAGUAGUGUGUAGCUAAAAUCCCAGUUACGACGUUCACCUUCUGCUUUACACGUUCCUAGGUACUACUUACCGGAAUAAGACGUUCCAUACGGACUACCUCGCUAACCCAACUACGACUUCGACUAUAUGAGGGGAUUCAACGAGGUUAGCCCUUACGUCUAUAUGAAGGCACUCAACGAGGGGUUUUGGUUAGGGAACGAGAAGAAACGUGGUUAGCCUGUUCUCUACGCUCGGUAGGAAAAAUGAUCUACAAGAGAACUAGCAAAGAAGGAUACCUAAAACACCAACGGUCUACAAGAGAGUGACACCUAACCAUACUUCCAACAUUUUGUAAAAGUAAUCCGUAGUUAAAAUAACGACCACGAACAGACCGACAUUUUAGACGAGUUAUACAUAUAAAAGGAAAGCAGACACAGGGAAAAGGCUAUAUUAUGACUUGGAAAACCUUAUAGAGACAUGUAUUUUUUUAACACAAUACAGACGGCUAACUUUACCUGGAUUUAUACUUAUGCUUGGUCAUUAACAAAACACAAAAAU
rnacentral:rRNA from 1 species